AGUGAACGCUGGCGGUGGGCCUAACACAUGCAAGUCGAACGGCAGCACAGUAAGAGCUUGCUCUUACGGGUGGCGAGUGGCGGACGGGUGAGGAAUACAUCGGAAUCUACUUUUUCGUGGGGGAUAACGUAGGGAAACUUACGCUAAUACCGCAUACGACCUACGGGUGAAAGCAGGGGAUCUUCGGACCUUGCGCGAUUGAAUGAGCCGAUGUCGGAUUAGCUAGUUGGCGGGGUAAAGGCCCACCAAGGCGACGAUCCGUAGCUGGUCUGAGAGGAUGAUCAGCCACAUUGGAACUGAGACACGGUCCAGACUCCUACGGGAGGCAGCAGUGGGGAAUAUUGGACAAUGGGCGCGAGCCUGAUCCAGCCAUACCGCGUGGGUGAAGAAGGCCUUCGGGUUGUAAAGCCCUUUUGUUGGGAAAGAAAAGCAGCAGGUUAAUACCCCGCUGUUCUGACGGUACCCAAAGAAUAAGCACCGGCUAACUUCGUG
rnacentral:rRNA from 1 species